UGCUUACUUCAGCAGCAAUAUUCCUAAAUUGGCAUUAUGCAGAGAAGACAAGCAUGGCCCCUGAACUAGAAUGACAUGCAAAUUUGUAAAAGCAUUCCAUGCUUUU
ensembl:snRNA U6 U6 spliceosomal RNA